rnacentral:lncRNA from 1 species
AAAAAUCUGAAGAGGGAAGGAAAAUGGAAGGAGGAAGGGAAGAAAAUGGAAAUUGAAUUCGGGUUUAUUGGUGGUGGGCUUGACUGGUCAGGUCAUGCCCCGAUUGUUGAAUUGUGUGAGACUAAGCAAAGUCUAAAUCCGGUUCGGGCGGGUCAAGUUGUGGGUGGCAGUUCCGUUGGUGGUUCUUAAGUUUUGAGGUUUCUCUCUCUAUAUUUGUGCAGAAACAGAAGAAAUAUAAAGUUCUGCGUUGAUGAAGCAGAUGGAUUGUUAUUUGAGAUUUCAGAUUAGUAUUUUGUUUGAG